UGAUUGAGAUUUUAACACGAAGUGAGUGGCGAACGGGUGAGUAACACGUGGGUAACCUGCCCAGAAGUAGGGGAUAACACCUGGAAACAGAUGCUAAUACCGUAUAACAGAGAAAACCGCAUGGUUUUCUUUUAAAAGAUGGCUCUGCUAUCACUUCUGGAUGGACCCGCGGCGUAUUAGCUAGUUGGUGAGGUAAAGGCUCACCAAGGCAGUGAUACGUAGCCGACCUGAGAGGGUAAUCGGCCACAUUGGGACUGAGACACGGCCCAGACUCCUACGGGAGGCAGCAGUAGGGAAUCUUCCACAAUGGACGCAAGUCUGAUGGAGCAACGCCGCGUGAGUGAAGAAGGGUUUCGGCUCGUAAAGCUCUGUUGUUAAAGAAGAACGUGGGUAAGAGUAACUGUUUACCCAGUGACGGUAUUUAACCAGAAAGCCACGGCUAACUACGUGCCAGCAGCCGCGGUAAUACGUAGGUGGCAAGCGUUAUCCGGAUUUAUUGGGCGUAAAGCGAGCGCAGGCGGUCUUUUAAGUCUAAUGUGAAAGCCUUCGGCUCAACCGAAGAAGUGCAUUGGAAACUGGGAGACUUGAGUGCAGAAGAGGACAGUGGAACUCCAUGUGUAGCGGUGAAAUGCGUAGAUAUAUGGAAGAACACCAGUGGCGAAGGCGGCUGUCUGGUCUGCAACUGACGCUGAGGCUCGAAAGCAUGGGUAGCGAACAGGAUUAGAUACCCUGGUAGUCCAUGCCGUAAACGAUGAUUACUAAGUGUUGGAGGGUUUCCGCCCUUCAGUGCUGCAGCUAACGCAUUAAGUAAUCCGCCUGGGGAGUACGACCGCAAGGUUGAAACUCAAAAGAAUUGACGGGGGCCCGCACAAGCGGUGGAGCAUGUGGUUUAAUUCGAAGCUACGCGAAGAACCUUACCAGGUCUUGACAUCUUCUGACAGUCUAAGAGAUUAGAGGUUCCCUUCGGGGACAGAAUGACAGGUGGUGCAUGGUUGUCGUCAGCUCGUGUCGUGAGAUGUUGGGUUAAGUCCCGCAACGAGCGCAACCCUUAUUACUAGUUGCCAGCAUUAAGUUGGGCACUCUAGUGAGACUGCCGGUGACAAACCGGAGGAAGGUGGGGACGACGUCAAAUCAUCAUGCCCCUUAUGACCUGGGCUACACACGUGCUACAAUGGAUGGUACAACGAGUCGCGAGACCGCGAGGUUAAGCUAAUCUCUUAAAACCAUUCUCAGUUCGGACUGUAGGCUGCAACUCGCCUACACGAAGUCGGAAUCGCUAGUAAUCGCGGAUCAGCAUGCCGCGGUGAAUACGUUCCCGGGCCUUGUACACACCGCCCGUCACACCAUGAGAGUUU
rnacentral:rRNA from 1 species